rnacentral:piRNA from 1 species
UAAGUGAAUUCUCACAAGGUGUUUGCUGGG